rnacentral:lncRNA from 1 species
GCUCUCUCUGAGCUCUCUGCCUCCAAGAAGACGAAGGCCAUUGGUUGGUGCAGAGCGAGGAGAGAGAGAGGGGAAGAGGAGUAGGAGGGGAUUUUGUAUCCCCAGCUCCCGAGAAGCGGAGAGAGAGAAGCUUCGGUCCGUUCGUGAGAUUUUUGGUGGCGAGUUUUGCAGUUCUUUCUUCCAAGAAUCGGAGGAGGAGGAGGAGAUGACGGGGGUUGUGGUGGUGUCGCCGUCGGGGUGCAAGGGGGG